UACGUAGGGACCGAGCGUUGUCCGGAAUCAUUGGGCGUAAAGAGCGUGUAGGCGGCCACUUAAGUCCUGCGUGAAAUCUUGCGGCUCAACCGCAAGCGGUCGUGGGAAACUGGGUGGCUAGAGUGCGGGAGAGGAGAGUGGAAUUCCUGGUGUAGCGGUGGAAUGCGCAGAUAUCAGGAAGAACACCCGUGGCGAAGGCGGCUCUCUGGACAAUUGCUGACGCUCAGGCACGAAAGCGUGGGGAGCAAACAGG
rnacentral:rRNA from 1 species